GGAGUAUAGCUCAGUGGUAGAGCGUGUGCUUAGCAUGCACAAGGUCGUGGGUUCAAUCCUCAGUACCUCCA
rnacentral:tRNA from 1 species